rnacentral:rRNA from 1 species
GAUGAACGCUGGCGGCGUGCCUAAUACAUGCAAGUCGAACGAAACUUCUUUAUCACCGAGUGCUUGCACUCACCGAUAAAGAGUUGAGUGGCGAACGGGUGAGUAACACGUGGGCAACCUGCCCAAAAGAGGGGGAUAACACUUGGAAACAGGUGCUAAUACCGCAUAACCAUAGUUACCGCAUGGUAACUAUGUAAAAGGUGGCUAUACUACCGCUUUUGGAUGGGCCCGCGGCGCAUUAGCUAGUUGGUAGGGUAAAGGUUUACCAAGGCAAUGAUGCGUAGCCGAAUUGAGAGGUUGAUCGGCCACAUUGGGACUGAGACACGGCCCAAACUCCUACGGGAGGCAGCAGUAGGGAAUCUUCCACAAUGGGCGAAAGCCUGAUGGAGCAACGCCGCGUGGGUGAAGAAGGUCUUCGGAUCGUAAAACCCUGUUGUUAGAGAAGAAAGUGCGUGAGAGUAACUGUUCACGUUUCGGCGGUAUCUAACCAGAAAGCCACGGCUAACUACGU